rnacentral:rRNA from 1 species
UACAGAGGUCCCGAGCGUUGUUCGGAUUCACUGGGCGUAAGGGGUGCGUAGGUGGCGGGGUAAGUCGGAUGUGAAAUCUCCGAGCUCAACUCGGAAAAUGCAUUGGAAACUGCCCUGCUCGAGGGUUGGAAGGGGGACUGGAAUGCUUGGUGUAGCAGUGAAAUGCGUAGAUAUCAAGCGGAACACCAGUGGCGAAGGCGAGUCCCUGGACAACUCCUGACACUGAGGCACGAAAGCUAGGGGAGCAAACAGG